rnacentral:rRNA from 1 species
UGGGGAAUAUUGCACAAUGGGCGCAAGCCUGAUGCAGCCAUGCCGCGUGUAUGAAGAAGGCCUUCGGGUUGUAAAGUACUUUCAGCGGGGAGGAAGGCGAUAAGGUUAAUAACCUUGUCGAUUGACGUUACCCGCAGAAGAAGCACCGGCUAACUCCGUGCCAGCAGCCGCGGUAAUACGGAGGGUUCAAGCGUUAAUCGGAAUUACUGGGCGUAAAGCGCACGCAGGCGGUCUGUCAAGUCGGAUGUGAAAUCCCCGGGCUCAACCUGGGAACUGCAUUCGAAACUGGCAGGCUAGAGUCUUGUAGAGGGGGGUAGAAUUCCAGGUGUAGCGGUGAAAUGCGUAGAGAUCUGGAGGAAUACCGGUGGCGAAGGCGGCCCCCUGGACAAAGACUGACGCUCAGGUGCGAAAGCGUGGGGAGCAAACA